rnacentral:misc_RNA from 1 species
GAUGAAGAACGUAGCGAAAUGCGAUAAGUAAUGUGAAUUGAAGAAUUCAGUGAAUCAUCGAAUCUUUGAACGCAUCUUGCGCUCCUUGGUAUUCUGAGGAGCAUGCCUGUUUGAGUGUCAUUAAAUUCUCAACUACACUGACUUUGAAUUGGUGUGGCUUGGAUUUGGGGGGAAAAUUGUUGUGGGCUUUUUGUAUAGUCUGCUCCCCUGAAAUUGAUUAGCGGUACCUUUGUGGAACUGUCUACAGGUGUGAUAAUUAUCUACAUCUUAGACAUCUGCUGGAAUGCUGCUUUCUAAACCUUACUUGUAUUGACAAUCUUGACCUCAAAUCAGGUAGGACUACCCGCUGAACUUAAGCAUAUCAAUAAGCGGAGGA